rnacentral:tRNA from 1 species
GGAUAUAGCUCAGUCAGUAGAAUGCUGUCUCACAUGCACAAGGUCCUGGGUUCAAUCCCCAGCACCA